GGGCGAGUGGUGAAAUGGCAUACACGCUAGGUUUAGGACCUAGUGCCGCAAGGCGUGAGAGUUCGACUCUCUCCUCGCCCA
rnacentral:tRNA from 3 species